rnacentral:rRNA from 1 species
AACGAACGCUGGCGGCGCGCCUAAUACAUGCAAGUCGAGCGAGAAGACGUAGCAAUACGUUUGUAAAGCGGCGAACGGGUGAGGAAUACAUGGGUAACCUACCCUCGAGUGGGGAAUAACUAGCCGAAGGUUAGCUAAUACCGCGUACGCUCCUUGGACUUCGGUUCAUGGAGGAAAGCGAUACCGUGGGUAUCGCGCUCUUGGAUGGGCUCAUGUCCUAUCAGCNGUUGGUGAGGUAACGGCUCACCAAGGCUUCAACGGGUAGCUGGUCUGAGAGGACGAUCAGCCACACUGGCACUGCGACACGGGCCAGACUCCUACGGGAGGCAGCAGUAAGGAAUAUUGCGCAAUGGGCGAAAGCCUGACGCAGCGACGCCGCGUGGGGGA